GGUGAGUUCACAGAGGAAAUGAGAAUAAACAGAACUGUGUGCUGGGGGAUUCCAACACAUGUAGAAUCAGGAAGAGGAGGAAAGGCCCACAAUGGAAGUGGAGAAGGAGCAGCCAGUGGAUUCCAUCAUUAAUGGCAAUGAAAGAAGAGAUGGAGGCAUCUGCUGAGUGAUGAGGCUGGAGCAGAACUGGAAGUGUGGGGAGGGAUGAGAUAUGAUGACACAGUAGCCCUACAGGACUUGGCCAAGACUGGACACUCAGAAUAUGCUCGCUGAGCAAAACUGGACGACAUGCUGUAUGUCAUAAUGUGAAGUUUCAGUUCUAAGGCAAUCCUGAGCUCAAAAUCUUAUUUUUUUUCAAAAUUUUAAUAUUAUAAACUCAGAAUGGGUACUAGAAAUAACUAAUUUUUAUUGAGAGAGCCAUAUGAUUUAAUCCCCACAGCAUAGUCUACGAGGUUUCUGCCAAAGUGACAAAAAGACAAUGGCAACACAGCAUAGAAGUCAAGCUAAUUUUAAGUAUAACUAUAUUUAAGGAAUGUUCAGCCGACAGUAUUUGGGAUGCAGAAAUACUUAUUUCCAUAAUCUCUGAAGUUCAAAUCCAACUAACAAAACUACUGACUCGUCUACACCGGUGUAAAAUAACUGUCCAUGUGGUUUUUAAUGAUUGUAUACUUGCGUCUUUCUCUUGCAAAAUAUUUUCCUUACUAUCUUGGGUGUAUUAGGAUUCUCAGAAUGUGAGUAACAGAAAUAAGGAAGGGACCUUUAGUAGAAGGACAAUGAGGUCACUCAGCAAAUCAGAGAGAACUGAACAAUUGGACAGGAAGCAGGGCAACUCAGAGCAUUUCAGGAACAGAGACACAGUACUUCCCAGGGAGACUGAAUCAGAUUCAUUCUAGCACCACGCAUUCCUUUGAGAGAAGAUCUCAUUGACCUCGAUAGAGCCAUGUGUCCAACUGCAAAGGUAAAUGAGCAGGAUACGGUGAGAAGUGAGCCUAUA